UCCCACCUGACCCCAUGCCGAACUCAGCAGUGAAACGCCGUAGCGCCGAUGGUAGUGUGGGGUCUCCCCAUGUGAGAGUAGGGAACUGCCA
rnacentral:rRNA from 1 species